GGAGUUAGCCGGUGCUUCUUCUGUGAGUGAUGUCCUUCCUGCCGGCUAUUAACCCGCAGGCCUUCUUCCUCACUGAAAGUGCUUUACAACCCGAAGGCCUUCUUCACACACGCGGCAUGGCUGGAUCAGGGUUGCCCCCAUUGUCCAAUAUUCCCCACUGCUGCCUCCCGUAGGAGUCUGGGCCGUGUCUCAGUCCCAGUGUGGCUGAUCAUCCUCUCAGACCAGCUACGGAUCGUCGCCUUGGUGAGCCGUUACCUCACCAACCAGCUAAUCCGACAUAGGCUCAUCCGAUAGCGCGAGGCCCGAAGGUCCCCCGCUUUCCCCCGUAGGGCGUAUGCGGUAUUAGCCUGGGUUUCCCCAGGUUAUCCCCCACUACCGGGCAGAUUCCUAUGCAUUACUCACCCGUCCGCCGCUCGCCACCAGGGAGCAAGCUCCCCGUGCUGCCGCUCGACUUGCAUGUGUAGCNGCCGCCAGCGUCAUCUGAGCAGAUACAACUACUGAA
rnacentral:rRNA from 1 species